UUAAUUUGCUUCGAAUUAUCCCCAAAAGCAGAAAAACGCUCUUGUUUGACUGUAAAACAAUAAUACAGCGGGUUACUGAACUGCAGAAAGUUAUAGUUAAACAAAAAUAAGCUGCAGUUGCUAUGGUAGCGAACUGUUUAAAUUUUGUAAACAAACUAAAAUGUCUACAUUACUGGAACAUCGAGCUUUUCUGCAACUAAAUUGCCUAUAUUUUUACUUCUUAACAAACUAAUAGAAUACUUUUAUAUUUCAGAUAGCUUCCACUUAUCAAUUUUUUGUUUGUCUAUCAAUUAAUUUAACUAAUAUAUUUCUCAAAUUCAGCAUAUGACAUGGCUAUUAAUAUUCAUUCCUUAUCCUGUCCUACUUAUAUGACUACCCAUGUUUGCAUUUGUACAGAGAAUUACAUCAUUGUUCCUUUAACUAAAAAUGGAAAUAUUUCAGUUUGGGAUUCUAACUAUCCCUUAGAAAAGCCUUCAAUAUUGCAUGGUCAUCACAAACUAGUGACAGCUUUGACAUUAUCCCAUUCUCCUUUAUCACAUUACUUGUGUUCUUGCUCAUGUGAUAACAUCAUUCUAUGGAAUUUACUUGAUAACGGGGGCAAUCCUAAGACAGGCAAAGUUCUUCAUUCAAACAUGGAGCAGCCUUUAUUUUCUGCCUUCAAUAAUACUAAUGAAAAGAUAGCUGUUUCAUUUACAAAUGAAUUGUGGAUAUAUGGUUUGAAAGAGAACUCAUGGGUUGCAUCCAUUGAAAAUGUCCAUUUCACUAAUUUUAAUUUUAUUUCGGAAGGAUUUAUGGGAAUUGAAGACAACUGUAUUAAGGUUUGGGAUAAUAUCACAAAUGAAAUUGCUUCUAAAGUUAGCUUAUCAAAUGGUUUUCCUACCUCAUUUAAUUACUUUAAACCAAACAGUAUUCUUGUGAUCGGUUCUACCUGUGGCAAUGUGACUGUAUAUGAAAAAAAUUGCAGACUUAUAAGAAGUCUUUCAAUUUGGAAGAUAAUAGCUCAAAAUCAAAGACACGAUGCUAAUGAAGAAGAUAUCUAUAAUGAACUCAGAAAUGAUAGUUUUCCUGUACAUGCUAUUCACGUGUUUCAAAUAAACAACAAAAACUAUACUUUUAACAAUCUACCUGAAGACAUGUAUCUUCUAGUUAUUUCGAGUACAUGCCUGUUCAUUUUCAACAUAAAUAACGAAGCGCUAUUGUAUUAUCUUAAUUUUAAUGAUGAGUUAUUAAAUUUGCAAGUUGGCUUAAUAAGAUCUGCAGCUAUUGAUCAAGAUUCCAAUAACCCUUUAGUUUAUAUAACCCUCAUUCCAGUCAUUGGGGAUUUUAUGUUUUUCAUGAAAAUAUUCUUAGAUAAGGCCAUUAUGUCUAACAUGAAUUCUGCAUCCAACUCUUCCAAUAAAAUGAAUGAUGAUUUUAUUGAAUGCCACCUUUCAUUUCUAAGCAAGACUGAUUGUGGUAAUCAGAAAUCUUUGCUCAAUCAUAACACUCCAAGCAUCAAGAAAAUUAACAAUAUAAAAAAGAAUCCAUCUGCUUUAAAUCGACCUGUAACAUUUCAUUCAAAUAUCAGAUCAUCAGGAUAUGGAAAAUUACAUAAAACUGUGAAGUUAUUUCAACCACAACUGUCCAAAGUGAGUAAGAGUAAAUCUUUGAGCUGCUUAACUCCAAGAUCAUGUGGAUCAAUAUCAGAUAUUAAAGAAAGUUUUUAUAAUGAAAAUAAAGAAAUAAGCUACACCAACUUGAAACAGCUAGAUAAAAUUGAAUCACUAGAAAUGCCUACUCUUUCUUACCUUCAAGCAACAGUUGAUGGGAUGCAUGCUGCCUGCCCAGCUAAAGAAGGUUAUAUAAAUAUUUUCAAAGUUAUGAAAAAGACUAUGAAGCUGCACCACACAACCAGUUGUCAUUCUGGAGAAAUUAACAGUGGAAAAUGGAGUCACUCUGGGAGACUAAUAAUUACCAGUGGAAAUGAUAAAACAGUAAAACUGUGGGAUUUUGAAAAAUAUAAACAAGUUCCUUUGCUAGUCAUAGGUCAGGGGAAAAAUUCUCUUUCUACAAAGCAAAGGUUUUGUUUUGAAGAAGAUGUUAUGGAUGCUCAAUUCUAUUAUCUUGAUCGCUUCCUUUUAGCUGCCUCUGGAAAUAAACUGCAUUUAUUUGAUUAUGAAAUAGAUAUACAAAAAACUGGUAUAAAAAGUAUUGUCAACAAAAGCACCCUGAAGUUGUUGAAAAAAAUACCUCUGGAAUCAAAGCAGAUCACUUCAUUUGCUGCUGUAAAUCAAUAUUUUUCUAUAUCUAGUUCUGAGUGCAGGAACAUCUAAAUGCAUAGACGUCUUGGAUAUGACUGUUGGAAAAGUUGUUUGGCAUUCAGAAGCUGCAGGUUCUAAACCUCCUCAUGUAAUUGCAAUUAAUGAGGGCUCACCUUUUAUUACUCAAGAAUUGCAAAAUUAUGACUUAUUUUUGACAUCAGCUUUAAUUGAUGGCAUAAAAUUGUGGGAUUUAAGAACAAAAC
rnacentral:misc_RNA from 1 species